GGAGGGUCUUGCCAGAGCAACCCCAACUCUGGUUUAGACUUCUUUUGCAGGUUCCGACGGCGAUCGCGACUCCCUCGACUCCAGCUUCUCCGAUGCAGAUGGAUUUUUGCACCAACAGUGUCUAAGAUAAGUUUGGCAGAUUGACCAGUGGUUUUUAAGUGGGAGCUACUCACAUUGAUUCGAUCUCUGAUGAGUUAAUGGCUUAUCCCCACCACUGAUCUCACUUACCUGGCCAACCUGGUGAGUUAGGUUUUGAUCAGAUCACUUGAUGAUUAGGGCU
rnacentral:lncRNA from 1 species